UUAUUAUAAUUUUAAAGGUUAUUAAAAACGUCCGAAAAUUUAAAACGGUCGUUGCAAAUCCGGCGAUUAUUUUUACGGAAUUGUCGAAUUAAAUUAUAAUUAUAAUAAAAUUGGAAAAACGUUACGCAAUUUACCAUACGUUUUUCGUUAACCGGAAAUACGAAUUAUAUAAAAGAAAAGGGGACCGUAACAAAAACCGUUACCCGCGUAAAAAAAACGAUAAUAGGGGAUGGCGUAUUUCCACGAAUAAAAAAUAUUAUAUAUACGGGAAAUUAAAAUACCGACUUUCCAAUUAUAUCGAAAAAAAAUAACGUUUUUGCGAACGGCGAAUCCGGGAUCGUUAGAAAAAAAAAGGACAAACGCGGAAAUAACCAAUUUGUCAUAACCGGGAAAAAUGGAAAAAAUGUUAAAAAACAAAAUAAUAAUUUGAAUAACGUUACAAAUGUUAAAAAAACAAAGGAAAAAAUUUCCGAAAAUGGUUAUAUUUUUACCUAUUUUAUAAAUUACGAAACCGAGGAAUUUUUAACCGACAAAUUAUUCCGGUAUCGAUUAAAACAAAUAUAAAAAAGGUUCCAAACCAUAAAUAAAAAAAAAAAAACCCAUACCAAAUUUUAUACCAACGAAAUAUAAACGAAAUUUAAUAUGGGAUUAUCCCUAAUAUAGGGGCAAUUAUAAUUUCCACGGCCGGAAUAGGGUAAAUUAAAAUAUUGCAACGCCAAAAACCGCAUAUUUAUAUUAAUAAAACAAACCCAAAUAAGGCCACGGUGCGUUUUGGAACAGGAAAAAAUAUUACGGUAAUAGGGGAAAUAACGUUAAAUACCCAAAUCGGCGAAAUUACGUUCCACGUAAUAUCGACAAAUAUACCAUUUUUGCUAUAUAUUUAAAAUACAAAUAAAUUCGGUCUAUAUUUAAAUAAUACCAGCAACAAAUUUGUAAAAACCGAUGGUAUUAAAAUACCGAUUUUACGCAAAUAGGGAUACCUAUAAUUUUAUUUACCUGGAAUAACGCCGACAAAACCGGCGAUAUAUUUUAUAAGGAACGCAAAUAUAAUAAUAACUUUUUUAACAAAAAAAAAAUUGCGAACGGUGUAUUGAAAAUUCGGCCACCCAUUAAUAAAACGUUUAUAAAAAAUAUUAUAAAGGGCAGGCCAUAAGGUAAACCGGAAUAUAUUGGAAUUAAUAAACCGUUUUUGCCAUUAUUGCCAAAUUAAAAAAAAUGUUCCACAACGUUUUAAAUUUACCCUGAAAAACAAUAUAAAUUUCAAUUACGAAAUUAUUAUCGAUAUUAUAUAUUUGGAUUCCAAACCGGUUUUAUACGUGGUCGACGCGAAUAUUAUAUUCCAAACAGCGCGUUUCCUAAACAACGUAUCGGUUAAAAAAAUAUGGGAGGUAUUAAAAAAAUAUUGGAUAAAUACGUACCUGGGACCGCGAAAUAUCGUUAUUUACAAUUUAAAUACCAAUUUUGCUAUUU
rnacentral:sRNA from 1 species